UACGUAGGGCGCAAGCGUUAUCCGGAAUUAUUGGGCGUAAAGGGUGCGUAGGCGGUCUGACAAGUCUGAUGUGAAAUCUAUGGGCUCAACCCAUAGUCUGCAUCGGAAACUGUCGGGCUGGAGUAUGGGAGAGGUGAGUGGAAUUUCCGGUGUAGCGGUGAAAUGCGUAGAUAUCGGAAGGAACACCUGUGGCGAAAGCGGCUCACUGGACCAUUACUGACGCUGAUGCACGAAAGCUAGGGGAGCAAACAGG
rnacentral:rRNA from 1 species